rnacentral:lncRNA from 1 species
UAUCAGAAGUAACAGAUAUUCUACCAUCAAAUUUAUCAAAUAAGCAACGAAGCAAAUGACAAUGUUCAGCUUGAAAUUUAAAAAUAUCAUUUUUAAUUGUAUUUCGUGAAAAACCUUUAAAAGAGGGAUUAUAUACUCGUUGAAUAUAAUGAAUAAAAUCGGGAUGCGAAGGAAAACUAAAAGACAAACCCAUAACAACAACCAUUUUUGCUAGUUCUUGUC